rnacentral:rRNA from 1 species
ACGCGAAACCCGCCUUCGGGCGGGGAGUAGAGUGGCGCACGGGUGAGUAACACGUGAGUAAUUUACCUUUGGGUGGGGAAUAGCUCGGGGAAACCCGGAUUAAUACCGCAUAAUGCAGCGGCACCUUCGUGGUGACAGUUGUUAAAGCGGGGGAGCGACUUUGGUCGUCCUCGCGCCUGAAGAGAAGCUCGCGGCGGAUUAGCUAGUUGGUGGGGUAAUGGCUCACCAAGGCUUCGAUCCGUAGCCGGCCUGAGAGGGCGGUCGGCCACACUGACACUGAAGAUACGGGUCAGACUCCUACGGGAGGCAGCAGUCGGGAAUUUUGGGCAAUGGGCGCAAGCCUGACCCAGCAACGCCGCGUGAAGGAUGAAGUUUUUCGGAAUGUAAACUUCACAAGACGGGGAAGAAUAAGGGUGAGCUAAGAUCUCGCCUGAUGACGGUACCCGUAGUAAGCUCCGGCUAACUCCGUGCCAGCAGCCGCGGUAAUACGGGGGGAGCAAGCGUUG